GAAGGUAUAGCUCAGUGGUAGAGCGAGAGCUUAGCAUGCACAAGGUCCUGGGUUCAAUCCCCAUACUUCUG
rnacentral:tRNA from 1 species